rnacentral:rRNA from 1 species
CGGUUAAAACGCUCGUAGUUGGAUUUCUGUCAGGGGCGUCCGGUCCGCCCUUUGGGCGUGUAUCUGGUUCGACUUUGGCAUCCUCUUGGGGAAUGUACUGCGCUUCACUGCGUGGUGCAGAAUUCAAGACUUUUACUUUGAGGAAAUUAGAGUGUUUACGGCAGGCAAACGCCUUGAAUACAUUAGCAUGGAAUAAUAAUAUAGGACCUGAGUUCUAUUUUGUUGGUUUCUAGAGCUUAGGUAAUGAUUAAUAGGGACACUUGGGGCCAUUCGUAUUAACGCGUCAGAGGUGAAAUUCUUGGAUUGCGUUACGACGAACU